CCCCUAGAUGUUCUGGGCCGCACGCGCGCUACACUGAACAGUUCAACAAGUCUUAACCUUGGCCGAUAGGUCUGGGUAAUCUUUGAACGCUGUUCGUGAUUGGGAUAGACCUUUGCAAUUAUGGGUCUUCAACGAGGAAUACCUAGUAAACGCAAGUCAUCAGCUUGCAUUGAUUACGUCCCUGCCCUUUGUACACACCGCCCGUCGCACCUACCGAUUGAAUGGUCCGGUGAAAUCUCGGGACGGCGGCUUGGUCGCUUGCGUCCGACUGCUGAAACUUGAUUAAACCAUAUCAUUUAGAGGAAGGUGAANUCGUANCA
rnacentral:rRNA from 1 species